rnacentral:rRNA from 1 species
AUUUUCUUUCGAAUAAGCUUUUUUGAACUAAAAAAUUAUUUAAUGACUAAACAAAAGGUCAAAAUGAUUUGAAAUAGAUAAUUAUUCUAAUAAUCUUAACUAUUUGAAUUGAUGUAGCAAACACAUUUUUUUUAAAUUAUUUAUUAAUUUUGAAAAUAUUGUUAAAUUAGUAUUACGAUCAGAAACAACUAUUUUAUGACAAAAUAAAGAUCAUAAUGAUUUGAGAUUGAUAUUUGUCCAAAUAGUCAUAACUAUUAAAAUUGCUUUAGAAAACAACUUUAGUUUUUAAAUCUCUUGCUUAAUAAUUUUUAAAAUAUUAAUAAAGUAGUAUUAUUUUAUUUCAGAUACGUUUAUUAAUUGAAACAAUCAUUUUAUGACAAGAUAAAAAGUUAAAACAAUUUUAAAUAGAUAAUUGUUCAAAUAGUCAUAUCUAAUUAAAAUUGUUCAGUAAACAGAUUUAUUUUUUUUAAAUCUCUUGCUUAGUAAUUUUUCGAAUGUUAAUACAUUAGUAUUAUUUUAUUCCGAAUAAGUUUGUAUGAACUAAAAUAAUAGUUUUAUGACUAAACAAAAGGUUAGAAUUAUUUGAAAUAGAUAAUUGUUCAAAUAGUUUUAACUAUUUAAACUAGUUCGACAAACAUAUUUAUUUUUUAAAUCUCUUACUUAUUAAUUUUCAGAAUAUUAUUAAAUUAGUAUCAUUUUAAUCGAAUAAGCUUACAUGAAAAGAAACAAUUGUUGUAUGACAAAAUAAAGAUCAUUACGAUUUGAUAUAGAUAAUUAUUCAAAUAGUUAUAACUAUUUGAACUAGUUCAGUAAAUAGAUUUAGUUUUUAAAUCUCUUAUUAAUUUUCAAAAUAUUAAUAAAUUUGUAUUAUUUUAUUUUGAAUAAUUCUGUAUGAAUAGAAACAAUUGUUUUACCACAAAACAAAAGGUCAUAAUAAUUUAAAAUAGAUAAUUGUUCAAAUAAACAUAACUAUUUGAACUUGUUCGAUAAACAUAUAUAUUUUUUAAAUCUCCUACCUAUUAAUUUACAAAAUAUUAAUAAAGUAGUAUUAUUUUAUUUUGAAUAAACUUGUAUGAAUAGAAACAAUUGUUUUAUGACAAAACAAAAGAUCCUAACUAUUUGAAAUAAAAAAUUGCUCAAACAGUCAUAAUAAUUUGAGCUUACUCAGUAAACAGAUUCAUUUUAUAAAUCUUUUACUUAUUAAUUUUUGAAAUAUUAAUAAACUAGUAUUAUUUUAUUUCAAAUAGGCUUGUCUGGACAAAAACAAUUUAUUUAUCACAAAACAAAAAGUCAUAACUAUUUGAAAUAAAUAGCAAAUAUUCAAAUGAGAACUUUGAAGGCCGAAGGGGGGAAAGGUUCCAUGUGAGCAGCACUUGAACAUGGAUUAGUCGAUCCUAAGAGAUAGGGGGAGUUAGUCCAAUAGUGCAUUGAGUCCGAGCUUUGAAAGGGAAUCAUGUUAAAAUUUCUAAGCCAGAACGUGGAGGCUAAUGGCAACGUUAGGGAGUUUGGAGUCAUCGGCAGGGGACUCGAGAAGAGUUAUCUUUUUUGUUUAACUACCUACCUACCCUAGAAACGCUCAGCUAGAGGUAGGGUCCAAUGGUUGAAAGAGCACCACACGUCACGUGGUGUCUGGUGCACCCUCAACGACCCUUGAAAAUCUAAAGGAUCAUGCUAUUCGUGCCCAGUUGUACUUAUAACCUAUUAGGUUUCCAAGGUGAAUAGCCUCUGGUCGAUGGAAUAAUGUAGGCAAGGGAAAUUGACAAAAUGGAUCUGUAACCUCGAGAAAAGGAUUGGCCCUAAGGGCUAGGCACUAGGGUCACAGUGUCGAACCCAUCAGCUACUGGAGCACUACUCAAGUUGCUUUCGUGGUGAGAGUAGGUCGCCACAUGCCAACCAAGGGAUGGACUAGGAAAGGCUCCCUUAAGGGCUUUUCUCGGGUGAUGAAUAGUUAACUCAAAACUGAUAUAGACAAGGGGAAUCUGAUUGUUUAAUUAAAACAAAAGCAUUGUGAUGGUCAUUACAGAUGUUCAUGCAAUGUGAUUUUUACCCAGUGCUUUGAGUGUCAAUGUGAAGAAAUUCAACCAAGCAUGGGUAAAUAGCAGAAGUAACUAUUACUCUCUCUAAGUAGCCAAAUGCCUUGUCAUCUAAUUAGUGAUGCACAUUAAUGGAUUAAUGAGAUUCCCAUUGUCCUUGUCUACCAUCUAGUGAAACCACAGCUAAUGGAAUGGGCUUGGUAGAAUCAACAAAGAGAGAAGACCUUAUUAGGUUAACUUUAGUCUAACUUUGUGAAAUGACUUGAGAGGUGUAGGAUAAGUGGGAGACCUCGAAUGAAAUUGAAAUACCUAUACUUUUAAUAUUAUUUUACUUAUUCUGUGAAUCGAAAGUAGGGCACGACCUUUUUUUUUUGGACCUAAGGCCGGCCUCAGUUAGUCAAUCUAGGCAAAAAACAUUCUUAGGUGGGGAGUUUGGUUAGGAAGGCAAAUUUGUUAAAAGAUAAUGCAGGUGUCCCAAGAUGAGCUCAAUGAGAACACAAAACAUAUGUGGAACAAAAGGGUAAAAGCUCAUUUGAUUCUGAUUUCCAGUACGAAUAUGAAUUAUGAAAGCAUGGCCUAUCAAUCCUUUAUACCUUUGGAAUUUGAAGCUAGGGGUGUCAGAAAAGUUACCAUAGGGAUAACUGGCUAGUGGUAGCUAAGCAUGCAUAGCAACAUUGCUUUUUAAUCCUUCGAUGCCAACUUUUCCUAUCAUUGUGAAGCUGAAUUCACCGAAGUGUUGGAUUGUUCACCCACUAAUAAAGAACAUGAGCUGGGUUUAGACUAUCGUGAGAUAGGUUAGUUUUACCUUAUUGAUGACAAUGUCGAAUAGUAAUUCAACCUAGUAGAGAGGAACUGUUGAUUCACACAAUUGGUCAUCGUGCUUGGUUAAAAGUCAAUGGUGCAAAGCUACCAUGCGUUAGAGUAUGACUGAACACCUCUAAGUUAGAAUCUGGGCUAGAAGUGAUGCAUGCGCUUGUCACCCGAUUGUCAACCCAUAGUAGAAGCUUAUGGCCCCCAAAGGUACAUGUUGUAGGUGCAGCCUCUGAGGUGAACAAAUUAUGCGGGCCUCCUUAGAGCUUAAUUCCCACAAAG